rnacentral:rRNA from 1 species
GAAUGUUGACAUGAGUAGCGACAAACAGGGUGAGAGACCCUGUCGCCGAAAGUCCAAGGGUUCCUGCUUAAAGCUAAUCUGAGCAGGGUAAGCCGGCCCCUAAGGCGAGGCCGAAAGGCGUAGUCGAUGGGAACCAGGUUAAUAUUCCUGGGCCAGGAGAUGGUGACGGAUCGCAGAGGUAGUUCUUCCUUAUCGGAUUGGAAGGGCUGCUGAGUGGUUCCUGGAAAUAGCCCUCCAUGAGACCGUACCCUAAACCGACACAGGUGGACUGGUAGAGAAUACCAAGGCGCUUGAGAGAACCACAUUUAAGGAACUCGGCAAAAUACCUCCGUAAGUUCGCGAGAAGGAGGCCCCGUUUGUACGCAAGUAUGGGCGGGGGGCACAAACCAGGGGGUGGCGACUGUUUACUAAAAACACAGGGCUCUGCGAAGCCGUAAGGCGACGUAUAGGGUCUGACGCCUGCCCGGUGCCGGAAGGUUAAAAGGAGAUGUGCAAGCAUUGAAUUGAAGCCCCGGUAAACGGCGGCCGUAACUAUAACGGUCCUAAGGUAGCGAAAUUCCUUGUCGGGUAAGUUCCGACCUGCACGAAUGGCGUAACGACUUCCCCGCUGUCUCAAAUGUGGACUCAGCGAAAUUGAAUUGUCUGUGAAGAUGCAGACUUCCCGCGGUUAGACGGAAAGACCCCGUGCACCUUUACUAUAGCUUCGCACUGGCAUCAGGAUUGUGAUGUGCAGGAUAGGUGGUAGGCAUUGAAACCGGGACGCCAGUUCCGGUGGAGCCAUCCUUGAGAUACCACCCUUCGCACUCUUGAUGUCUAACCGCGGCCCGUUAUCCGGGUCCGGGACCCUGCGUGGUGGGUAGUUUGACUGGGGCGGUCGCCUCCCAAAGAGUAACGGAGGCGCGCGAAGGUUGGCUCAGAGCGGUCGGAAAUCGCUCGUUGAGUGCAAUGGCAGAAGCCAGCCUGACUGCAAGACUGACAAGUCGAGCAGAGACGAAAGUCGGCCAUAGUGAUCCGGUGGUCCCGAGUGGAAGGGCCAUCGCUCAACGGAUAAAAGGUACGCUGGGGAUAACAGGCUGAUGAUGCCCAAGAGUCCAUAUCGACGGCAUCGUUUGGCACCUCGAUGUCGGCUCAUCUCAUCCUGGGGCUGGAGCAGGUCCCAAGGGUAUGGCUGUUCGCCAUUUAAAGAGGUACGUGAGCUGGGUUUAGAACGUCGUGAGACAGUUCGGUCCCUAUCUGCCGUGGGUGUAGGAUACUUGAGAGGAGUUGCCCCUAGUACGAGAGGACCGGGGUGAACGUUCCACUGGUGGACCAGUUGUCGUGCCAACGGCAGUGCUGGGUAGCUAUGAACGGACAGGAUAAACGCUGAAGGCAUCUAAGCGUGAAGCCCCCCUCAAAACAAGGUAUCCCUUGAGAGCCGUGGAAGACCACCACGUCGAUAGGCCGGAGAUGUAAGCGCAGCAAUGCGUUCAGUUGACCGGUACUAAUGGCUC